CCACACCCUUUUUCUCUUGAAAUUACUGUUAUGCCCCCACCCCUCAAAUAUCUCACUCUCUCUCUUUCGUUUUUUUUAGUUUUUUUUAAUAAGUUUGUUUUUCUUAAUUAAUUUUUUUAUCAAUCUUUUAUUUUUUUAUCUGUUUUAUUUUUAUUUGUAAUUAAAUAAAUUAUUUUUUAUUAUAUGUUUGUAUUUUUAGUUGUAGAUGUGGGAGUCAUUAUUUGUAAAAAUUACAAAAAACGAAUAAAAAAAUUAUUUCUUUAAGUUGUUAUUGUUUGAGUUGAUUUUUAUUUUUUUAUUAGUUUUAUUUUUUAUUGUUUUUUUUUAAUUUUUAGUAGUUUUUAUUUAUUUUAUUUUUAUUUGUUUAGUGUUUGUAUUAAUGUUAAUUAAAAAAGGCACAUUCAAUGCCCCAACACUUGACAAUGUUUUUUUUUAUUAGUUUGAAAAUAACUAUUUUUUAAUUAGUUUUUUAAAUUUUAUAAAUAAUAAACUCUAACAUCUUACAACUAAAAAAUAAACAAAAGAUUUAUAACAUAUAAAAAAAACAAAAAAAUAUUUAUAUAAGAAAAAAAAAAUUAAUAAAGAAAAGAAAAAAACUGAUAAAAAAAAUUAGAAAAGGGAGGGAGACAAAAGAAAGGAAAGAAAAAAGGGAAGGACGGACACAAGGGUAAAUUUGGGGGUGGGGCCAGGGGAGGCCAUGGGGAGGGUCUGACACGAGAGGGGGAAAAGCAAUUCUCUUUUUUUAUGCACACAAAGAUCUGAUUGGAUAGUUGGUUUUUAAUUUUAGGUUACAAUUGCAAAGGAAAAGAAAACGUUUAUAGAUUUAACCAUUUACAUUUAACUUUUUUCUCCACAAAUUCCUCUCUAAAUCUAUAAUUAAAAUACAACUAUUUUUUUUUUAUGCGAAUAGGUUAUAGGAAUAUGACCAUCUUAUGAAGUGUUCGGACUAAACUGCAAACCAUUUACGUUUCCAUCCAAAUUAACAGAAUGCGCAAUAAAACACAAUUUGAGAGUCGAAGAGAAAAAGGUCUGAAUCAAAGUCAAACACCAAAACCAUAAAAUCCCCCAAUAAUUACCCUUUCGUUAUCUUCCUCUUCCUCCAACCAACUAAAAUGACCUCAAUCUUAUAACUCAUCCCCCCACCACCUACGUCAGAAUGUACAACAACCAAUCGCCAACAUAGCCACUUCCAAACUUCAACUUCAUCACUGGCGUAUCAUAAUACACUACAACAAAAGGUCCAUUACCAACAAAAUGAUUUUCUCUCCUCUCCAAACGACCUUAUUCAGUGUUAACAACUUGCCCGACAAACAAUAUGUCGUCACCUGAUCGUAAGCGACAAACUUAUGUCGUUGAAAGUGUCCUCUGACAAAAAUUUUAUUUCGCCGUUUAAUAAAACUUUCUAGCAAUAAAGAUCAUGUCCUUGUCGAAUAUAAUAGUUUAGCGGUAAAAUAUUUCAUAACCCACAUAAUAUAAUUUCCUCGCCUUAGGUCACGUUUCGUCACUAAAUAAUUUAAAAUUUUAUUAAUUAUUUUUUUUGUAAAAUAAUAGGUGACAAAAAUUUCGUCACUAAAGGCAGUUUGCAGAAGCAAAAGACGACGAAAUAUUUCCUCGCUAAAGAUCUUCUCACGCCAUAAAUGCCUAGAAUUCGCCAUGGGCCUUACUCUCGUGAUCUGAUUAGUUCAGCUUUUAAGCUCCUAUGCAUAGAUAGACUUGGGGAAAAGAUCAAAUUGAUUUCGUAACCAUAGCCACGUAUUUUUGUGAAAUACUAUUUAGAAAAAUGAAUGAUAAGUGUAAGUUUGAAUGUUGACCGUCCUAUUUUUUUAGACAAUUCUAAUGAAAUUAUAUGGCUAUAAUUAUUAAGUCAACUUAAUUUUUGCUUUUUUGUAUGGAUGAUCUAUGUUCAUAGAUUUAAAAAAUGAACUCAUUAUAUUAUUGAAGAUGGACUCUGGUGAGUCCCAUGAAACCGAAACAUGUGGUAUGAUGCAAUCCACAUACAAGUCAUUUAUUUUCCGUUUAUAUUUAUAUUAAUUUUUAAAUUUUUGGGUGUAUUUUUUAAUUUAGGGAUGGGCAUUCUAGGAGUCGAGCUCGCACUACAUACUUAGAGGCUUUUGGUCUGCCCAAGUCAGGACUAGCUGGAUAUGGCCAAAUAUAGAAUUGCCAACUCUAGUCCUAAAAACUUUUAUAUUCCCAAGCCCACCCAUUAAAUUCACUUGUUCAAACUCUUAAAUGUUAAAUAUAUUUAACCAUUUAUAUUAUAUUAAUUCUAAUUUUCUUUUUAAACUUAAGUAUAUCUUCGUAUUUUGUACUACUUUUAGGAAAACCUAAAGAACCAAAUGCUUCAUUGAAAUUUUGCUAUUAUCUCUGUACAAACCACAUAAUUCCCCUUUCACUUAAUAAAAGUAUGGUUUUAAUUAAAAUAAAAUUAUUUUUUAUAUUUAAAAUAAAUUCCCCUUUCAUAACACGAUUUUACAAUUAGUAUAUUUUUUAUAUGAAAUGAUAUGAUAAAUUUGUACCUAAUUAUUUUAAAUUAAAAAAUCCUUUAAAGAGAGUAUUAUUUUAAUUUCUGAUAUGAGGCAAUCAUAGAAAAUAUGAAGAAAAAAAAAAAGUGUGUUAAACAAACACCCAUAUCAUUGUAAAACAAACAAGUACAUAUGAGAUCGCCAAGAUAGUAUCCGACUUAGUCCGAUUGGAUUUGUUUAUCCAACUGAAAUCCGACUGGAUUUCUAAUCCGUCAAAUUCAAUCUCCAAAACAAACAUGUCCCUCGUUGAAUUCGCACUACAUACUUAGAGGCUUUUGGUCUGCCCAAGUCAGGACUAGCUGGAUAUGGCCAAAUAUAGAAUUGCCAACUCUAGUCCUAAAAACUUUUAUAUUCCAAGCACACCCAUUAAAUUCACUUAUUCAAACUUUUAAAUGUUAAAUAUAUUUAACCAUUUACAUUAUAUUAAUUCUAAUUUUCUCUUUAAACUUGAGUAUAUCUUCGUAUUUUGUACUACUUUUAGGAAAACCUAAAGAACCAAAUGCUUCAUUGAAAUUUUGCUAUUAUCUUGUUACAAAACACAUAAUUCCCCUUACUUAAAUAAAACGUGUAUGGUUUUUAAUUAAAUAAAAAUUAUUUUUUAUAUUUAAAAUAAAUUCCCUUUAUCAACACGGAUUUUACAAUUAGUAUAUUUUGUAUAUGAAAUGAUAGAUAAUGGUUACCUAUUAUUUUAAAUUAAAAAAUCUUAAAGAGAGUAUUAUUUUAAAAAUGAUGAUAUGAGGGCAAUCAUAGAAAAUAUUGAAGAAACAAAAAGUGUUUACACCCAACACCCAUAUCCAUGUAAAACAAACAAGUACAUAUGUGAGAUUUACAAGAUAGUACAUCCGACUAUAGUCCGUUGUAUUCGGUUAUCCAACCUUAAUCCGACUUGGAUUUCUAAUCAGUCAAAUCAAUCUCCAAAACAAACAUGUCCCUGUUGAAUUCGCCACACUACCAUACUUAGAGGAUUUUGGUUCUGCCCAAGUCAGGACUAGCUGGAUAUGGCCAAAAUAUAGAAUUUGCCAAACUCUAGUCCUAAAAACUUUUAAUUCCAAGCACACCAUUAAAUUCACUUAUUCAACUUUUAAAUGUUAAUAUAUUUAACCAUUUACAUUAUAUUAAUUCUAAUUUCUCUUUAAACUUGAGUAUAGCUUCGUAAAUUUGUACUACUUUUAGGAAAACCUAAGAACCAAAUGCUUGAUUAAAUUUUUGCUUAUCUCUGUACAAACCACAUGAAUUCCACCAUUUAUCCCUAGUCUUUGAUCAGUAUCUUCUAAGUUAUUCCAAAUUCAUUGGUUCCAAUUCCUAAUUUUUAAUGGGCUAUGGGCCCAUAGCCCCUGCAUGUCUUCACUCUAGUAUUAUCCCACAUGCAGCCUGAUGAUCCCAAUGUCCACUUUCCUUUCUUUUCUUUUUUCUGCUAAUUUUUUUAGGAUUGUGAUGUGCAAAAAAUGUUGUUUGAAAAAACACAAAAGAGGGGGGGGGGGGGGGGGGGGGGAAGAAAAUUGCAUGGAUGUCAAGUAUACCGCAUUAUUUGAAUGUAAAUUACGCAUUAUUUGAAUGUAAUUGUCAAUUCUAAAAGUUAAUUUACUGUCAUGUAUGCAUAUAUAGUGAAAAUUCAUUAUAAAUAUAUUGGAGUAUUCGAUAGUAAUAUCACAUCUCACUAAUAACAUAGAUGCGUAGAAUUUAUCACGGGUCUCACUCUCGUAAUCCGAUUAGUUUAAGCUUUUUUUAAGCUCGUAUGAUUAGAUAGACUAACGGAAAAAAAAAAUCAGAUUGGUUCGUAAACCAUGACCACAUUGUUUUUAAUGAAAUAGAUGAUUGUGAAAAGUAUAAGUUUGAAGUUGAACGUCUUAUUUUUUUUAGACAAAUCUACUAAUAAAAUUACAUGGCUAUAAUUAUUAAGUCAACUUAAUUUUUUGUAUGGUUAAUCUACGUUUUUGUAUAGUAGAUUAAAAAAUGUAAACGAUGUAAAUCAUUGAGCUGGAUUUUGGUGAGUCCAACGAUUUGGUAUGGUUGCAAAAGCUAUAGGACAAGUAUUUCUUUCUGUUUUAUUUCGAUUUUUUUUAUUUUAGGCUGUAGUUUUGAAUUUAGGGAUGGACAUUCAACUAGUCGAACUCGCACUACAUAUUUAAAGGGUUUUGGUCUGCCCAAGUCAAAACCAACUCAAUGCGGGCCUAAUAUAAAAUUCCCAAUUCUAGUCAUAAAACCUUUGAAAUUCCUAAGGACCAUUAAUCCCAUUUGUUCAUACUCUUAAAUAUUAAAUACAUUUAUUAUUUAAACAUUUACAUUGUAGUAAUUCUAAUUUUAGGAAAACCUAAAGAACCAAAUGCUUCAGUAAAGUUUUUCUAUUCUCUCUGUACAAACCACAUAAUUCCAACAUUACCCUCAUCUUCUGAUACAGUUUCUUAGGGAGCUAUUAUUCACACCCAUCUUUAAGUCAAAUCACCAAACCAUCACCAGACUCGUUGACUAAAAUUAUUCUUUUGCCCCUGCCUUUUCUCCCUUUUUUCCCGUGUCCCCACUCCCUUUUCCCCCAGCCGGGCCUCCCCCAGCCUUCCCUUUUUCGCUGCAAAGCCCCAGCUGGGCCCUCACCCCAGCCCCACACUUGUCAGCCCACCCUCCCUUUCAGCCGACUGUCUUCCCCACCCCCACCCCUCUAAUGUUAAACCACCCUUUUCAGCCCAGGCCCCCCCACCCCUUUUAUCAAAAAAAAUUUUAAUUUUUAAUUUGUUUUUGGAUUUUUUUGUUCCCAUAUAUAGAAUAAACACUUCUCUAUAUUUUUCAUCUUAUCAUUACCUACCACACUCCAUCUAACUAUUCACUCAAUUUCUAUCAAGAUUUUGUUAAAAUUUUUUUUCAAAAUUCAUAAUUAGAGCACUAUGGAUAUAGGUGUCAAAGUGGGCCUUGCCGGCACGGCAGACACGGGCAUGGCCACGAAAAAACUCGACACGGGCACGAUUUUGGCAUGGUAUAAGUUAGGCCGGGCACGCCAUCGGACGGUAUGGGCGGGCAAGGGUACGAAAUGGUGGGAGCACGGCACGGGGCCACGGUACGAUAGUUGGACUUAACAUAGCACGGCACGAUCAAAGCUCGGCACGGCACAGGCCAACGACACCACUAGUGGGCUGGUUUGGCACGGCACAGACUUAGUCAAGCACGGCCCUAUGGGCAGGAAAAGAAUGGUGUGAAGGCACGACGACACGGACAGAGAGUGGCAAGGAAUAAGGAAUUGAUUAAUUAUUAAAUAAAUAAAAUAAAUUUUAUUAAAUUAAAUUAAUUUUCAUAAUAAAAAAAAUUAUUAAAAGAAAAAAAGUAAACUAAAUAAAUUUUGACUCUUGUUCUCAUGGGUUAUGGCCAUAUAAAUAAAUAAAUAAUAAAAAAUAUAUUUUUAUUAAAUUAAAUUGACUUUCAAUGCCAUAAUAAAAAAAAAUUGAAAAAUUUUUUAAAAUAAAAUUAUGAAUAACAAAAAUAAAAAAAAAUUGACAAAAACAUUAAAAAUUAAAUUUGAACAACAAAAAGUAGAAAUUUUAAAAUUUGACUUAUGCCGUCAAACAAUACACGUUUCUUUCAUAUUUAUGACAAUUCACACCGUUCAUUUUGUUAUAGUGAUAUUUUAAUCACUCUGCCGAAUUUGAAGUCUAUUGGAUAUUGGAAAACUCUUUCAUUCGGGACAGUAAUUUAUUUAUUAUAUCAACCAAUAAUUUUUCUCAUUCGCUCCAGUACGUGCCGAUAAUUAAACUAUUUUAUGGUUUGCAUUGACGAUAUAAUCACUUCUACUUAUAAUUCUAACCGUUCCUAUUCAAAAAAAACUAUUGUGAUGCCAUCAAGUCAUGCAUUAUUAGACAUGAGCUCAUAGAUGGCACCGCAUGUGACCUGAUCAGGUGGUUGAAGACAUUUUGAUCCCACCGUUUUGAAACAAAUUAUAGAAUUGAUAAGAUAUAAAUCGUACUAUUUAAAUCAACAUUCAGGAAAUCGAGUCUGGCACGUGUCUUUCAAUCCUAUACAGCAAAUUACUUGGUUCUGACUAACUUAUUGUGUUUUAGGAUAAUGUACUCUCUCGCCAAAUUUCAAAUUUUCUAUCGGGUAUGAAAAUCCUUUAUCGAAAAGUAGAUUCACUAAAAAUUAAAAAUUAACAUAGAUACACCUUCAACUAUCACUUUAUCACUUCAUUGAUUUUUAGCUUCAAUUAUAGCUUCAAAAUCACACCAAAAAGAAGAUACUAAGCUGUCCGUUUGGUAAUGCUUACAAACAAGCUUUUUUUAAGCUUGCUACUAACAAGGCCAGAAUUUUUGAUUUUUUUGCUUUUGUGGCUUACUUUAGCUAAACUAAGUAAAAAGUCAAAAUCAAAAAAGCAAAAAAGCCACUCUGAUGAUUUUUUUGCUUAUUUUAAGCCAAAGCCAGAACAACAAGCUGGUGCCAACGGAGCCUAAAUCCCUUUCAAUUAGUUUUUUUGUGGCAACGGCUGCUAACCCAUAAGCCUUACCCACUGCUUACAUUUCCCAAAUUAUAAUUUUCCAUGAAAAAGUCCGUUUUUGUAUUAACAUAUUUAUAAAUUUGAGGCAUUUCUUAUGUGUUAUUGUUUGCACAAACUACUGUAAUUGGGCUUUUAAUUAAAAAACAUACACGACACACUUAAUACGGGUAGGGCACGACACGAUUAAGUGAUGGCAUGACCCGACACGCGUCACACAACUAAGUAGCGGGCCGACACGGCAUUGCAUCGAUUAGUAAGGCUGGCCGGCACGGCACGGCACGACACGACACUAUUUAAGUAAGCGGGCUGGCACGGCAUGACUGAUUAAGUAGACGGGCACUACACGGCACACAUGAGUCAUACGACUAAGUUAGCGUGCCGGCGCAGUACGGCACGUUAAGUAAGCGGCCUGCACGGCACAACACGAAUAAGAAACAAUAGCAUGACACGACAACGAUUAAAAAAAGGCACGGCAACGAUUAAAAAAGGCCGACACGACACGAUGAA
rnacentral:lncRNA from 1 species